AUUGAACGCUGGCGGCAUGCCUUACACAUGCAAGUCGAACGGCAGCGGGGGAGAAGCUUGCCUUUCCUGCCGGCGAGUGGCGAACGGGUGAGUAAUACAUCGGAACGUGCCCUGUAGUGGGGGAUAACUAGUCGAAAGAUUAGCUAAUACCGCAUACGACCUGAGGGUGAAAGUGGGGGACCGCAAGGCCUCAUGCUAUAGGAGCGGCCGAUGUCUGAUUAGCUAGUUGGUGGGGUAAAGGCCUACCAAGGCGACGAUCAGUAGCUGGUCUGGGAGGACGAUCAGCCACCCUGGGACUGAGACACGGCCCAGACUCCUACGGGAGGCAGCAGUGGGGAAUUUUGGACAAUGGGCGAAAGCCUGAUCCAGCAAUGCCGCGUGUGUGAAGAGGGCCUUCGGGUUGUAAAGCACUUUUGUCCGGAAAGAAAUGGCUCUGGUUAAUACCUGGGGUCGAUGACGGUACCGGAAGAAUAAGGACCGGCUAACUACGUGCCAGCCGCCGCCGUAACAC
rnacentral:rRNA from 1 species